AUGCCAGACAUGAUGGGAGAUAUUUACUACUCAUCCCAAAAGACAAACUCUCUGAUUCUGCGUGAACUUAAAACGUACAAUUUCUCCAAACAUUCCUCCAGAAGGAGUCGUUUGUUUGAAUGUGAUGAAAGCAUCUCAGAAAAGAUUGCCUGUGCAGCUGGAAUAAUUCUGAAUAAAAUUCUGAUGAAUUUAUAUACAAGGUUGCACCUGUUUGCCAGGUUCUCCAAUGGAGUCCAAGGCCUUUUUCCUGUAAGUGACCUCAGAUUUUUACUGCCUUUAGGAAAACAAACAAAGAAAGCCUCCCCAAAACCC
rnacentral:lncRNA from 1 species